rnacentral:rRNA from 1 species
UACGUAGGGUGCAAGCGUUGUCCGGAAUUAUUGGGCGUAAAGAGCUCGUAGGCGGUCUGUCGCGUCGGAUGUGAAAAUCCAGGGCUCAACCCUGGACCUGCAUUCGAUACGGGCAGACUAGAGUUCGGCAGGGGAGACUGGAAUUCCUGGUGUAGCGGUGAAAUGCGCAGAUAUCAGGAGGAACACCGGUGGCGAAGGCGGAUCUCUGGGCCGAUACUGACGCUGAGGAGCGAAAGCUAGGGGAGCAAACAGG